GACGAACGCUGGCGGCGUGCUUAACACAUGCAAGUCGAACGAUGAAGAAGAGAAACGCGAACUUCGGUUCAAAUUUCACUUCGGAUUAGUGGCAGACGGGUGGGUAACGCGUGAGCAACCUACCUCUUACAAAGGGAUAGCCUCGGGAAACCGUGAUUAAUACCAUAUGACACAUUCAUAAGGCAUCUUAAGAAUGUUAAAGCUACGGCGGUAAGAGAUGGGCUCGCGUCCCAUUAGCUAGUUGGUGAGGUAACGGCCCACCAAGGCGACGAUGGGUAACCGGCCUGAGAGGGUGAACGGUCACAUUGGAACUGAGACACGGUCCAAACUCCUACGGGAGGCAGCAGUGGGGAAUAUUGCACAAUGGAGGGAACUCUGAUGCAGCGACGCCGCGUGAGCGAUGAAGGAAUUCGUUUCGUAAAGCUCUGUUCUAUGGGAAGAAAAGGACUGUACCAUAGGAGAAAGCCCCGGCUAAAUACGUG
rnacentral:rRNA from 1 species